GUUUUAAGUGAACAAAAACUGAAUUGGAGAGGGGUGGAAAUGAAUUUGAAAAAUCAGGUUUUGUUGCCCGAAAAAUCUGUUAUUAAAAGACUCUUUCUCACUCAUUUUGCUAGACCUAGAGAUGCACUAAGCCACAGCUGCUGAAAAUCCUAGGAUUCUAGAUCUGAACUCAAAAAUUUCAGGAGAAAAGCAACAACAACUGAGGUAAAAGGAGAUACAAAAGCUAUUUUCGAAUUCUAGCAUAUUCGAUUGAUUUUUUCUGGAAUUUCAAAGGACUUUCAAGCUAUUAGAAUUGCUGUUUUGCUGGAUUAGAAUCUGUUGCCUCUGCUUGCUGGAUUUGAUAUCAUCUCUUUUUCAUUUUUCUUCCUUAACUGAUUCUUCUCAAAGCCUUUAUUUGGCUGUGUGAGAUUGCUGCUUCCUUUAGGGCAGCCCAGUGGCUAUCCCCUUGUAAGUUAGGUGUUUGAUUCAAAGGAAGGAGAGCCAUGCAACUAAAGUUAGAUUCUGUCAUGAAAUUUCAAACAAGGAAAGCGUAGAUUUAAGAUUACAUUAGUGAAAUAUGUAACUCAUGCCAUGAUUAGUCGAUUGUGUGAUUUAAACUGCCAUUUUUCUCUGUAUUUAAUUAAGUUGUAAAUUGAGAAUUAUGUUUGCAAUGGUUUAUUUUCCUGUA